rnacentral:rRNA from 1 species
CUACGUGCCAGCAGCCGCGGUAAUACGUAGGUCCCGAGCGUUAUCCGGAUUUAUUGGGCGUAAAGCGAGCGCAGGCGGUUAGAUAAGUCUGAAGUUAAAGGCUGUGGCUUAACCAUAGUACGCUUUGGAAACUGUUUAACUUGAGUGCAGAAGGGGAGAGUGGAAUUCCAUGUGUAGCGGUGAAAUGCGUAGAUAUAUGGAGGAACACCGGUGGCGAAAGCGGCUCUCUGGUCUGUAACUGACGCUGAGGCUCGAAAGCGUGGGGAGCAAACAGGAUUAGAUACCCUGGUAGUCCACGCCGUAAACGAUGUCGACUUGGAGGUUGUGCCCUUGAGGCGUGGCUUCCGGAGCUAACGCGUUAAGUCGACCGCCUGGGGAGUACGGCCGCAAGGUUAAAACUCAAAUGAAUUGACGGGGGCCCGCACAAGCGGUGGAGCAUGUGGUUUAAUUCGAUGCAACGCGAAGAACCUUACCUACUCUU